UUGGGCAGUCGAUGGGACUGGGCGCC
rnacentral:piRNA from 1 species